CCUCUCCCUUUCUCUUCUCCAUUGGCAUCCCACACAUCCCACUUUUUGGGGCAUCCCAAGUUCUUCCAUGCCCAAGCUAUUGGGCAUCCCCCCUCUGCUGAUUUUUGGUAUUUGGUAGUAACACAAAGUAAGAGAAAAAGAUAAAACAAGAAGAUAAGAAGAAGAUCAAGAAAAGAGAUCAAGUGUUGAUCGUGAUCCAGGCUUCGUUCAGAUUC
rnacentral:lncRNA from 1 species